rnacentral:rRNA from 1 species
GACGAACGCUGGCGGCGCGCCUAACACAUGCAAGUCGAACGGAGCUUAGAGAGCUUGCUUUUUAAGCUUAGUGGCGAACGGGUGAGUAACGCGUGAGUAACCUGCCCUAGAGUGGGGGACAACAGUUGGAAACGACUGCUAAUACCGCAUAAGCCCACGGUACCGCAUGGCACUGAGGGAAAAGGAUUUAUUCGCUUUAGGAUGGACUCGCGUCCAAUUAGCUAGUUGGUGAGGUAACGGCCCACCAAGGCGACGAUUGGUAGCCGGACUGAGAGGUUGAACGGCCACAUUGGGACGGAGACACGGCCCAGACUCCUACGGGAGGCAGCAGUGGGGGAUAUUGCACAAUGGGGGAAACCCUGAUGCAGCGACGCCGCGUGGAGGAAGAAGGUUUUCGGAUUGUAAACUCCUGUCGUUAGGGACGAUAAUGACGGUACCUAACAAGAAAGCACCGGCUAACUACGUGCCAGCAGCCGCCGUAA